UACAGAGGGGGCGAGCGUUGUUCGGAAUUACUGGGCGUAAAGGGCGCGUAGGCGGCCUCUUAAGUCGAACGUGAAAUCCCCGGGCUCAACCCGGGAACUGCGUCCGAUACUGGGGGGCUUGAAUCCGGGAGAGGGAUGUGGAAUUCCAGGUGUAGCGGUGAAAUGCGUAGAUAUCUGGAGGAACACCGGUGGCGAAGGCGGCAUUCUGGACCGAAACUGACGCUGAGGCGCGAAAGCCAGGGGAGCAAACGGG
rnacentral:rRNA from 1 species